rnacentral:tRNA from 1 species
GCCGCUGUGGCGAAAUUGGCAGACGCGCAGGACUUAGAAUCCUGUACCGCAAGGCAUAUCGGUUCAAAUCCGAUCAGCGGCACCA